UACGUAGGGUGCGAGCGUUAAUCGGAAUUACUGGGCGGAAAGCGUGCGCAGGCGGUUCGUUAAGUCAGAUGUGAAAGCCCCGGGCUCAACCUGGGAACUGCAUUUGAAACUGGCGGGCUUGAGUGUGGCAGAGGGGGGUGGAAUUCCGCGUGUAGCAGUGAAAUGCGUAGAGAUGCGGAGGAACACCGAUGGCGAAGGCAAUCCCCUGGGCCUGCACUGACGCUCAUGCACGAAAGCGUGGGGAGCAAACAGG
rnacentral:rRNA from 1 species